CUAUACAUGCAAGUCGAGCGAAUGGAUUAAGAGCUUGCUCUUAUGAAGUUAGCGGCGGACGGGUGAGUAACACGUGGGUAACCUGCCCAUAAGACUGGGAUAACUCCGGGAAACCGGGGCUAAUACCGGAUAACAUUUUGAACCGCAUGGUUCGAAAUUGAAAGGCGGCUUCGGCUGUCACUUAUGGAUGGACCCGCGUCGCAUUAGCUAGUUGGUGAGGUAACGGCUCACCAAGGCAACGAUGCGUAGCCGACCUGAGAGGGUGAUCGGCCACACUGGGACUGAGACACGGCCCAGACUCCUACGGGAGGCAGCAGUAGGGAAUCUUCCGCAAUGGACGAAAGUCUGACGGAGCAACGCCGCGUGAGUGAUGAAGGCUUUCGGGUCGUAAAACUCUGUUGUUAGGGAAGAACAAGUGCUAGUUGAAUAAGCUGGCACCUUGACGGUACCUAACCAGAAAGCCACGGCUAACUACGUGCCAGCAGCCGCGGUAAUACGUAGGUGGCAAGCGUUAUCCGGAAUUAUUGGGCGUAAAGCGCGCGCAGGUGGUUUCUUAAGUCUGAUGUGAAAGCCCACGGCUCAACCGUGGAGGGUCAUUGGAAACUGGGAGACUUGAGUGCAGAAGAGGAAAGUGGAAUUCCAUGUGUAGCGGUGAAAUGCGUAGAGAUAUGGAGGAACACCAGUGGCGAAGGCGACUUUCUGGUCUGUAACUGACACUGAGGCGCGAAAGCGUGGGGAGCAAACAGGAUUAG
rnacentral:rRNA from 1 species